CACGUAGGGGGCAAGCGUUGUCCGGAAUCAUUGGGCGUAAAGAGCUCGUAGGCGGCUCAGUAAGUCGGGUGUGAAACCCUCAGGCUCAACCUGGGGACGCCACCCGAUACUGCUGUGGCUAGAGUCCAGUAGGGGAGUGUGGAAUUCCCGGUGUAGCGGUGAAAUGCGCAGAUAUCAGGAGGAACACCGGUGGCGAAGGCGGGUCUCUGGGCCGAUACUGACGCUGAGGAGCGAAAGCGUGGGGAGCGAACAGG
rnacentral:rRNA from 1 species